AGGUACUUCCCUUUUCAAGGUCAGACUUCGAGGAGGGAUAAGAAGGGGUGGUUUGAGAGAAAUUAAUUAUAGGAGCAGGUUGGCCUUUGCUUGAAGGAGGUGUAGGCAGGUCUUGACUCUGUGUCUGGGCAGCAAUUCUUUUCCUACGUUGUAUGAUGAACAAAGCCCAACAUACCAAACCAAUACCAACAACUGCUGCACCUGCUAUACCAAGUCCUACUCCAAGUCCAACGUUGCUAGAUUU
rnacentral:misc_RNA from 1 species